CCAAUCCUCGACCGCCUCUCCUCGAACCGGGUGACCUCCCUUCACACAAACGACUUCCUCUAUUUUUAUUUCAUGGCGAUCGGGAGAGAGGGAACACCGCCGACGCACGCACACUGUUUCAGCACUCCUCAAAGAGUUGAAUCGGGGGCAAACUGGACUGUCAGCUCCUUGGCACAGGGACAUUUCCAGGACUGUUUUGCUGGUGUAGUUUAGCGGACCGCAUUGGAGUUGCCUAUCUUGGAUUUGGAUUUGUCCUAUUCUGCUGUGUCCUGGGUUAAGACUAUAUAGUCUAUGGCUCUGAUGGACAAACACAAAGUGAAGCGCCAGAGACUGGACCGUAUCUGUGAGGGUGAGUUUUCUCAAUCUCUCAACAGAAAAUGUGUAGUACUCCAUAGAAGCACAGUCAAUGCAAUGUUUAUUAUAUGGUAUAGAACAGCUAUGCAUAUUGGAUACAAUGUUUAUGAUAUGGUACUGAAUAGUUAUAAACAGUGUUUGGUCAUGGUCCAAUCAUUGUACAGAUACAUUAUUUUAUCCAUUUAUUUUUAUGCAUUUAUGUAAAACGUCUUGGAGGAAACAUUUAGAAAUUCCACCUAUUGCACUUAAAUAAGCUGUUUCUUGAGAACCAUACAGUGUGGCAUAUAAUCUUGCUUUUGGAUAUCUGUUAAUGGUGAAUGGGUGGCACAAAGAAGCCGAACGCCAUAUAAUAAUGAUGAGUGAAGUUCUUUUAGACACGUGAACUUCAUUAAGGCCAUUUAUCUCCCAUAUACAAUGUCCCCAUUUACAACAUAAGCUGAGGUUUGCAGAACACUUUACCCAAUUUCCACGAGCACAGAAGGGAGACUGCACAUUUGACAUUAUACAGCACACAUUGGACAGCAAAUUAACUACAGCACCAGCUAAGACGACCACUUGCUAUGCUUGCUGACCUAUUAAACCCAAUUUAAAGGAAAUAUGAACAUUUUAAAGCAUUGCUUUUUCUGGCAUGUCACAACAGUUGAUUCUGCAAUGCAAGCGACCCCCAGAAUGUAUUUUUCCCUUGGAAAAUUAUAUAGACUAGCAUAUAUAUUUUUAUUUAUUUAGUUAUUACUCAAGCUACCUCAAAUAGAUAGAACGCCUGUACUUUUCAUCCAACUAUUUUUUUAUAGCUAUGGAAUAACCUAUAUUCGAUUAAUUGCAAAAAUGUUGAAUUUGUAUUCAUCAUGCAACAGUCUGCGUUUUAGCUCUAUGAAAACCUCAGUGGUGGCAGUAUGUUCUAUUUUAAUUCUGUUGUACCAUACCAAAACACAUCAAAAUCAUGUUUCCUAAACAGCGAUGAGACUUGGAAGUGUUGUUUGUGGACCGUACGCCCGAGCGGCUGUAAUCAGAGGAAGACUAAUCGGUUGGCUGGUCCAAUCCACUGGGGGCGCAUGCUUUGUUUUAUCACCAGGCAACUACCUGUGUGUUCUGCCUGUGUGCCUCCCGUGGUUUACAUGUCUCCCUCAAAGCAAUAUUGGGUAGAUCGCAAUAACUAAAAUACAAUUGAGUGAUGGAUAAAUGUAUAGUGAGUUUUUAAUUGUGUUCCUUGUCUCGUGCGUUAUUGAAUUAGACAUUUAAUUACAGACUUGCAUGUGUGCAGAAUGCCUCCGUUAGCCUCCUGCUCUGGGGACAGGAUACGGGAUGCAGUUUGUUGUGAAGCGUGACGUAUCUAACCGUUCCUUAACAGGCAGGCUCAAAUUGGGAUGAAUGGUGCUGCCAUAGCCUUGUAGUCUGUGAUGUUAUAGACUAAUAAUGAGCGGUUUGUCGGGGGUGGGUGUGGUUGUUAGGCUGGGGGUGUGGCGACGGACGGCUCGGGUCAAGUUAAAGAAAUAAGAAUCUCAUUUUGAGUAAAGUAUUGAUUACGUCUGGCCCGUACAGCAUGCUGCAACUGUUUUAAAUGUGUUUUGUGUCCUUAUAAUUCCCUUGAGUACCCAUUACGCUGCCAAAUAACUCAAUGUUAUGCCCCAAACCCAUUGUGAUGUUAGAAAUGAUACUUAAUUUCUGAUCGCACAUGCCCUUUGUCUAGGUCAGAUUUUUUUUUUAAGUGAAAUGCCGUAGGAACAUACACAAGAUAAUCAAUAAUUAAGAUCAGCAGGGAAUAGCAUUAUUUUUUUGUGGUGGAAUCAUAGCAUAUGUAUGCACUCCCAAGCCUUUAAUAGGUCCAAACGUUCCUUUAAUUGCAGAGUGGUAGUGGUAUGCUAUGUCGGCUGCCUUGUGUUGAGAGGCUAUGCACCGGGCUCCAUCUGCCAAGAAACACAAAGUCAGAGCACCCUGAUCGACCCGUGUUGCUGAUAUUUAUCACUGCGAGGCCCCCCACGUGUAGACCCCCCCCCCCCCCCAUGUUAUCCAUUGACGUGUGUUUUGAUACAUUAAGCAGUCAUUUAUUCAGAGGAUGCAGGAUUAUAUUGGGGCGCUGGUAACCGCAUCAUUAUCUACACGGCCUGCCGGGGAAUCCUUAAUAUGUCACGGCCACAGUUUUCAAUCCGAGCAAGAACCGGGAUUUAUUUGAGUAAAAUGUAAUUCUUGCUGGUAACGCUUGUUAAAAAAAAAGAAAUCGGUCUUUCGAUACCCCAAAAAAAAAAUUGUAAAAAAAAAAAAUCCACUCAAAGACGGCAGG